UGAUGUAUUAGUUAGUACUAAGAUUAUUUAUCUCACUAUUUCUAUCAUAAUAAUGAAAUAAAUUAUCCUAUAUAUAUAAUUGAAUAGCUAAAUUCAAAAUUAGUUAUCUCAAAAUAACUCUAUUCCAAACAAACAAAGAAGAUGUAUCUAUUUUAGUCUGAACAGAACCAAUGGGGAAGGUCCCUAACAGGAACCGCACUUCCUAUAACUGGAUCUGGCACCUCCAUGUCCCCAACAAGAUCAAAACCUUCAUGUGGCUCUUACACCACAACAGCCUCCAGACCAAAGUCAGUCUUUCCAAGUGGGGCCUGAAAAUUGUCUCUCUUGCAACUUAGAUAAUGAGGACCAGCACCACAUUUUCUUUGGUUGCAACACUGCCAAAGCCUUUUGGCUUUACCUUAUCCAUAAAUAUAAGGGAAACCUUCAUCUUCACCUAUCAAUGUUUGACACUAACAACUGGUCUUCCACUUGAAAAACUCUUAGCAAAGAUUCCUUUGACACCAACACUCCCUAGGGCACUCUCCUACUCUUUUGCUUAUGGCACCUUUGGAAAGUUAGAAAUGCUCAUAACUUUCAAGACUCAAACUUCCCCCUAGCUUCAGCAUCCCCCAUGCGAAAGCGGUGGAGUAUCACUACCUUGGCAACCCCACAAAUCAUCACCCUGCCAAUGUCACCUGUGUGAAGUGGUUACCCCCUGCCCCUAACACCUAUAAGCUGAACACUGAUGGUUCAUGUCUUGUGACUCGGGAAAAGGGGGAAUUGGAGAGGUAUUUAGGAAUAGCAGAUGAGGCUGGGUCAGCAAGAGUUUCAUUUAUGCCACUAACAACCUUAUGGAGCUUCUUGCUCUCAAAGAGGGUCUCCAACUAGUUUUGGAUCACAACCUGCAGCCCUUAGAUGUGAGCAUUGACUCUAUGAAAAUAAUUAACAUGCUGCACCGGAGAAACUUACUAUAUGAUUCAAUUAUUUAUGCAUGCAGGUCUCUACUAAGGAGUUUGGGGAAUCCUCCGGUCUACCACACAUAUCGGGAGCAGAAUAGAGUAGCGGAUUGGAUGACUAAGCAGAGAUCAAAGCAAAAGCUUUUGAAUAAAAUGCAUAUUUUCGUAACUCCGCCUGUUAAUGUAGGAGUAAUCUUUUGAAAGGACUUAACGAGCAAGUCCUUCCCACGAACUACAAAUUGUAAUGGGCACUUAAUACCCAGUGUUUAUCAUUUUGAGCUUGGUUAGACUAUUUCUCUUGUAAAAAACUCUUUUAUUAAUGUAAAUCUCUCCUAUUUACCAAAAAAAAAAAAAAAAAAGAACCCAUGGGGAAGUAUUUGUGGUCCUAAAAAUCAAAGAUUAAAAUGGUACCACUAUUUUUAUGGACCACGUCACAUUUGUAUAUAAACUUCCACGUGGAUAGAUCAGAAGCUUAUACUAAUCUGUGUUCACAUGUGAAGAAA
rnacentral:lncRNA from 1 species